GGCUGGGGUCCAAAGUAGUGAGUUAAGGCAAUUGAUUGUUCAUAGUCAGUUACAGAUUUAACUCCUUGUUCUAUUCUUUCCCUUCUUCUCACUACUACACUUGACUAGUCUUAA
ensembl:misc_RNA Y_RNA Y RNA